rnacentral:rRNA from 1 species
AGUGAGGGUAACUGCCUCACUAGCCUACGACGGGUACGGGCCUUGAGAGAGGGAGCCCGGAGAUGGACUCUGAGACAUGAGUCCAGGCCCUACGGGGCGCAGCAGGCGCGAAAACUCCGCAAUGCUCGAAAGAGCGACGGGGGGACUCCGAGCGCCUACACUUAGUGUAGGCUUUUCCCAAGCCUAAAAAGCUUGGGGAAUAAGGGCUGGGUAAGACGGGUGCCAGCCGCCGCGGUAAUACCCGCAGCCCUAGUGGUGGCCGCGUUUAUUGGGCUUAAAGCGUCCGUAGCCGGUCUAGUAAAUGCCUAGGUAAAUCGUCUGGCUCAACCAGGCGAAUUCUGGGUAGACUGCUAGGCUAGGGAUCGGGGGAAGGAGGGGGUACUCCGGGGGUAGGGGUGAAAUCCUGUAAUCCUCGGAGGACCACCAGUGGUGAAGACGCUCUCCUAAAACGAGUCCGACGGUGAGGGACGAAAGCCAGGGGAGCAAACGGGAUUAGAU